UGGCGCACGGUGAGUAACGCGUGAGAAUCUGGCUCCAGGUCGGGGAUAACAGUUGGAAACGACUGCUAAUACCGGAUGUGCCGAGAGGUGAAAGAUUUAUUGCCUGGAGAUGAGCUCGCGUCUGAUUAGCUAGUUGGUGGUGUAAGGGACCACCAAGGCGUCGAUCAGUAGCUGGUCUGAGAGGAUGAUCAGCCACACUGGGACUGAGACACGGCCCAGACUCCUACGGGAGGCAGCAGUGGGGAAUUUUCCGCAAUGGGCGAAAGCCUGACGGAGCAAUACCGCGUGAGGGAGGAAGGCUCUUGGGUCGUAAACCUCUUUUCUCAAGGAAGAAGAAAGUGACGGUACUUGAGGAAUAAGCAUCGGCUUAACUCCGUGCCAGCAGCCGCGGUAAUACGGAGGAUGCAAGCGUUAUCCGGAAUGAUUGGGCGUAAAGGGUCUGCAGGUGGAACUGAAAGUCUGCUGUUAAAGAGUUUGGCUUAACCAAAUAAAAGCGGUGGAAACUACAGAACUAGAGUGCGGUAGGGGCAAAAGGAAUUCCUGGUGUAGCGGUGAAAUGCGUAGAUAUCAGGAAGAACACCGGUGGCGAAAGCGUUUUGCUAGACCGUAACUGACACUGAGGGACGAAAGCUAGGGGAGCGAAUGGGAUUAGAUACCCCAGUAGUCCUAGCCGUAAACGAUGGAUACUAGGCGUGGCUUGUAUCGACCCGAGCCGUGCCGGAGCUAACGCGUUAAGUAUCCCGCCUGGGGAGUACGCACGCAAGUGUGAAACUCAAAGGAAUUGACGGGGGCCCGCACAAGCGGUGGAGUAUGUGGUUUAAUUCGAUGCAACGCGAAGAACCUUACCAAGACUUGACAUCCUGCGAAUCCUGGUGAAAGCUGGGAGUGCCUUAGGGAGCGCAGAGACAGGUGGUGCAUGGCUGUCGUCAGCUCGUGUCGUGAGAUGUUGGGUUAAGUCCCGCAACGAGCGCAACCCUCGUUUUUAGUUGCCAGCAUUAAGUUGGGCACUCUAGAGAGACUGCCGGUGACAAACCGGAGGAAGGUGAGGAUGACGUCAAGUCAGCAUGCCCCUUACGUCUUGGGCUACACACGUACUACAAUGCUACGGACAGAGGGCAGCAAGCCAGGGAUGGCAAGCGAAUCCAGAAACCGUAGCUCAGUUCAGAUCGAAGGCUGCAACUCGCCUUCGUGAAGGAGGAAUCGCUAGUAAUUGCAGGUCAGCAUACUGCAGUGAAUUCGUUCCCGGGCCUUGUACACACCGCCCGUCACACCAUGGAAGUUGGUCACGCCCGAAGUCAUUACCCCAACCGAAAGGAGGGGGAUGCCUAAGGUAGGACUGGUGACUGGGGUGAAGUCGUAACAAGGUAGCCGUA
rnacentral:rRNA from 1 species